CAGGAUGGAGUCCAGUUCAUCUUUAUGGAGGAUGGGUUCAGGGACGGAGGAGCUCUGAUCAUGACUGAGUGUGUUUUGGACCACUGGGACACACCUGUAAGCCUCUGGGUUCAGCCUCCUUCUCUGCAGAGCUGCCCCAGGGCCUGGAGCAGGACAAGCAGAUGGAUCUCCCUCUAUAGCAAACACAAGGGAUACUCUGAUGGCCGGCUCGGCUGAGGAGGCAGAAGAGGAGGAAGACAGGGUGGCUGGUCUCUGGACCGAGGAGGACACCGCCUGAACACCUGUGGCAGAACAAUGGUUAAAUGUGUCUGUAGUAUUAAAGCAUUGUC